UUUUCGUAGGUGAACCUGCGGAAGGAUCAUUAGUGAACAAUGGGAGUCCCUCUUAACCAGAGAAGGCCCAGUCCACUAUUUCACAAACACUCGUGCAAUCGUCCCUUUUACCUUUAACCCUUUUGCAUUUGAACAAGUCGUUGGGUUUAAACAAUGAUAAUAAAGAAAAACUUUCAGCAAUGGAUCUCUUGGCUCUC
rnacentral:misc_RNA from 1 species